rnacentral:tRNA from 1 species
GCCGGCGUAGCUCAGUGGCAGAGCAAAGGACUCAUAAGCCUUUGGCCGGUGGUUCGAAUCCACCCGUCGGCACCA